GAUGAAGAACGUAGCGAAAUGCGAUAAGUAAUGUGAAUUGCAGAAUUCAGUGAAUCAUCGAAUCUUUGAACGCACAUUGCGCCCCCUGGUAUUCCGGGGGGCAUGCCUGUCCGAGCGUCAUUACAACCCUCAAGCUCAGCUUGGUGUUGGGCCCCGCCGCCCCGGCGGGCCCUAAAGUCAGUGGCGGUGCCUUCCGGCUCCGAGCGUAGUAAUUCUUCUCGCUCUGGAGGUCCGGUCGUGUGCUUGCCAGCAACCCCCAAUUUUUUUCAGGUUGACCUCGGAUCAGGUAGGGAUACCCGCUGAACUUAAGCAUAUCAAUAAGCGGAGGA
rnacentral:misc_RNA from 1 species